rnacentral:rRNA from 1 species
AUUGAACGCUGGCGGCAGGCUUAACACGUGCAAGUCGAGCGGGGUGAUGGUGCUUGCACUAUCACUUAGCGGCGGACGGGUGAGUAAUGCUUAGGAAUCUGCCUAUUAGUGGGGGACAACAUCUCGAAAGGGAUGCUAAUACCGCAUACGUCCUACGGGAGAAAGCAGGGGAUCUUCGGACCUUGCGCUAAUAGAUGAGCCUAAGUCGGAUUAGCUAGUUGGUGGGGUAAAGGCCUACCAAGGCGACGAUCUGUAGCGGGUCUGAGAGGAUGAUCCGCCACACUGGGACUGAGACACGGCCCAGACUCCUACGGGAGGCAGCAGUGGGGAAUAUUGGACAAUGGGCGGAAGCCUGAUCCAGCCAUGCCGCGUGUGUGAAGAAGGCCUUAUGGUUGUAAAGCACUUUAAGCGAGGAGGAGGCUACUUUAGUUAAUACCUAGAGAUAGUGGACGUUACUCGCAGAAUAAGCACCGGCUAACUCUGUGCCAGCAGCCGCCGUAA